UGUCAAUUUAGCCCAAAUCUUAGAACUAGCCCUCAACCCUCCAAAAUAAUUCUAGCCUACAUCUCCAAAAAUUAAAAAAUCAUAUUUUGUAAGCCCAGCCCUAAUUAAGCCCUCCCAACAAAAAUCAAAUUAGGGCUGGCCCUACCAGCCCUAAAAGCUCCAAAUUCUAAUAUCCUCCUCCCUGAACAAGAUGCUAAAAGCCUGAAACGGUGAUGCUGAAGAUGUACUGAAACAGUGCGGUGCUCUUCCUCCUCCUUCUCCUCUACAUUCUACUUCUGCGUGCUGCUCCACCUACGAUGGUGGCUGACUUCUGCGCUCUACUCCUCCUACGACGGUGGCUGUACCCCAUGGACGACGCGGUGGCUGCUCCUCCUCCCUAACGUGGUGCUCAUCCUUCUUGACGCAGUGGACGAAGUCAGUGGCUACUUCUCCUCCCUCAUGCGGAAUCAGAGGGAGCACAAAGAAACCUUCCGAGGACUUGUACCAGUCGCCUCAAUCCAAUUUUGGUAACUAUUAUUCCCUUUUUGUGAUUUUUUGUCAUAUUGCUAUUAACUUAAAAUGUAGAGCCAUCUUAAUUUUGUCCUUUCUUUAUUUGUAAGUAAUCUCAGCUUUGUGGUGUUUUCAAUUUUCUAUGUUAAAUUUGAUCUAAUUGCCAUUGGCACAAACAUGCUCCUUUAUUUUCUGUUGUAUGUGUUUGGGUCCGUCACUUUGAAUUUGGUAGUAAAAAAAAGAGACACUUCAUGUAAGAACUCGAGUUUUGUAUUGAUGUAAGAACCCAAGUUUUUCACGCAAAACUAUUUUUAUAAAAAUAAUAAUUUUAGUUCCCGGAAUAGAUUCAAAACUUAGAAGUUUUAAUUUGAAAUUAUAAAGGUGAAAUUUGGUUUCAAUGGAUUUUUCUGAGACAGAAAAUGUAUUUUUUGAAAAGAACCGCGAACCGGCAAACGAACCAGUCGAACCGAUUUAAGUCUGUCCGAUACUGUGUUUUUAGAAAAAUAAGAUUUUGAAAAAUUGAUUUAUUAUUUUGAAAGGAUGAAAAAUAAUUUAGAAGGCACUAAUCUUAAAGGUUUUUGCCCAAAAUAGGCCAAAUGGACCUAAAACGCUAAUGGGUUGAAUCGGGUCCAAAUCGGACCCAAGGUCCAACAUAUAUAAGCCCGCUUAAUGAGCUUUUCAGCUCAUUUAACUUCAUUUUGAAGAGAGGGGUGCAACAUAGAGGGAAGAGAGGGAGAAGAGAAGUUACUAUUCACUCUCCUCUUUCGGAAACCAUAACUUUUGAUCCGGAGCUCCGAUUGACGAGCCGUUUGUGGUCACGUGAAGCUCUCGACGAGCUCUUCCUUUCUAUCUAAGUUUUUCUGGUAAGAGCUUGAAGCUCACUCCCCAGUUUUUUGCCCUAAGUUUCUGCACAUUUUGGGUUUAGUUCUUGAGAAAGUUUUGUAGUUUUGCUUGUUUAGGUGAUCUGUAGUAGUGGGUAAAUGUUGAAUUUUAUCCCUAAUUUCGUCGGAUAAGGUAAGGUUUCACUAAACCCUUGUGUUUAGUUGUUUUGUGUAUAUUAGGUUUUGAUGUUGGUAUAUAUAUGUGUUGUUAGUUUGAGCUUUGGUAUUUGUUGGAGUUGGUUUAGGCCCUUGGAUCAAGUUUGCUGGUUUCGUUUUGACGUUUGGAGUGUUUGGGAAUCGGCCAAGGUAUGGUUUUGGUUUCCUUUAUAUAAUAUUUCUGGACACUUAGGCUAGUGGCCCAUAGGAUAGGAUUGAAUUAAAUUGGUUGUUGGAAUUGUUGCAUGAUGAUGAUGCAUAAUGAUUUGAGGAUUUGAGUUGUUGAAUGAUGAUUUAUGAUGAAUUAUGAUGGGUUGAUGCUUUUUGAGUAUAUUGAUGAAUUAUGAUGUUAUAAUGAUAAAUAUGGUGUGAAAUAGUUAGAUUGAGAUGAAAUGAGUUUGGGUGUGAUGCUUGGUAUUGAUAGAUGAUGAAUAUGGAUGAAUUGUGUGGUGUGUGUUCACUACAAAAAAAACAGACAUAAAAUGGCAUUAAUAUUACGGCGGUUCAGAGAUUAUGACAUUAAUAUUAUGGCCGUAAUAUUUAGAUAUUAUGACAUUUUUUUGUGGUGCCAUAAUUAAUUUACACUUGAUGGCGGUUCUUGUGGAUUCAGGCGGUUUUAAAACGCCAUUACCACAUUGUAUAAAAAGGCCCAACCCUAACUUAACCUUCGUUACACUGUUCCAUGCGGACAAUGGCCACUUUGAGAGAACGGUUGAAUCUCUGCCACUCGCGAUCUCCUCCGGCGACGAUCCUCUCCAACGAUGACUCCUCACGCCACAGUCUCCUCGUACAACUUCUCCUCCUGCAACAUCUCCUCCAGCAACGGUCUCCUCACGCGACAUCUCCUCCAGCGCCGGUCUCCUCUUGUGACGUCUCCUCUGGCGAUGUCUCCUCCAGUGACGGUCUCCUCUUGUGACGUCUCCUCUGGCGACGUCUCCUCCAGCGACAAUUUCCUCCGACGACAUUUUUCUACGCAGUGAUCUCGUCUAUCGAGCUACCAUGCUGCGAAUUUCUCCUCCGGUGGCAUACUAGCAAGAUUGUUGUUUCUACCAUUGAUCUGAUAAGCAAUAAGUAAAUCAUUUGGCUCUCUACGAUGAUUCCAAGCUUUUGCCCUUGUGCUCCAAGCUCAUCUCUCUCUACAUCUCCUCACUCUCCUCCAACUCUAUGCUGUUCGCAACAAGUACUUCCAUCCAGAUAAUAUGUCCUCAGAAGAAAAGUUGAAAAUUGAACUUGCGAAGGUUAGAGAUGAGUUCAAAAUGUCAGAGUCAUAUUGUGGAUAGGCUCGAGUUCAAGAUGCACAACUCACAACUAAGAUUCAGCAUCUAUUAGCUGUUCUACACAAGAAGGUGAGUUACUUCUUCUAACAUCUCUCAUUGAUCUUAAUCUUCUAUAUAUUGAAAUGGAAAUAACUACUGGUGGCAAAAGAGAAUUUUGAACCAACCAAUUUCAUAUGGAUCUGGAGCUAUUUCUGUUUGAGUUAGACUUUUAUUAAGCUGUAUGUAUGUAAAGUUAUAGAUAAAAACCAAUGGUCCAAAUAAGCAUCCUUACUACUAGUAUAUCAGAUGGACGAAAAACAGAGCAGUAUCCUAUCUUUAUUCUCAUGAUAUGACCCUAGUGCUAGCGGGAUAUGUUACAGAAUAUUAAUCCCAUCACUUGUCCAGCAAUUUCUUGUUCACGUUGUGCAGUUAAUUCCAAUUUUAUUGUAAGUUUCUUGUUGAGUUGGCAUGCAAUGAUGCACUCAGGUGCGGUAUCUUAGAUCAUUGGAUGCUCAAAUUGGACGCUUAUCUUCACUAACAUGAAAUGAUUUAAUGAAAUUAAGCUCUUUGAAGGACUUUUACAUGGUUUCUAGCCAUAAUGGGCUAACAUUUUGCCAUUAACAUAGAUUUAUGAUAUGGAGACAAGUUACUUACAGGAUCCUGGGCAGUGUGGAAAUGUAUUGAAAGGAUUUGAGGGAUUCUUAUCUUCCUCAAAGAACACUGCACUGUACGGAGUUUCUUCUAUUUAGCUUUCCUUUUAAAUUUUGUUUUGAAAUAGUCAAUGUCAUUAUCAAGAAACCUAUUCUUCAGUCUCUUACCUUAUGAAGUUUAUUUCAUUUCUCCUGAGCAGCAGUAGCCUCCAUAUUGAGGGAUCUGUUGCACAUCGCCAUCUGUAUCCUGUAGUAUAUGGCAUGCCAUUUUUAAUUCAGGAUUAUACUCUUUUGACCAAAGUCUGUGGCUGUGCAUUUAGAACUUUUUAUCAUGGAUGAGUUAAUGUGUACACUUGCAUGUAAUCUUACUUAUUCAAACUAAGUUUUCAGUGUGUGGAGGAAAGAAUGCGUGGACUGAUAAGUAACUUGAUUAGAAUGUCAAAACAGGGGUCUCAUGGCUACGCCACCAGAUGAAGGACAACUUAUAAACAUGCUGAUUAAACUCAUCAAUGCAAAAAAGACGAUGGAAAUUGGUGUCUACACUGGUUAUUCUUUACUCUCUACUGCUCUUGCUCUUCCUUAUGAUGGAAAGGCAUCAAUGUUGGAGUGGACUCCAUCUCUAAGUGAAUUAAAAUGAACUUGUCUAUGGACAGUUUUAGUUUUUCCAGUUGAAAAGUGGUAGUGAAUCGGAAUAUUUAGGCAGAGAUGAUCUAUCAUUUAUCUUUACACUCAAGGCAGCAGACAGUGCAACACUUUAUGGAGUUUGUUUACAUGUGCCUGAAAUUGUUUAGAGGCCCCCUGGUAUCCUAGACAUGUAUUGUCCUCCAUCACCCAGUCCAUUCAACAGCCGGUUUCUGGUUUCUGCACCACGCUGUUACUGUUUGCUGACUAGAGUUCCUUUCUUUGAGUUACACUUUGAGAUGUUAUACAGGUUAGCACAUUGGUUGAAGACAUGCCGAAUGUCCUUUGGGUUCGUUAGAUGCAAAAUGAAAUUCAUUUUGUCUUGGCUGAAGUCUCAUUGCACAGGAGCAUCUGAACCAGAUAACUCAGUUUGUAAAUGAGUUGAAUCUUACUAGAGGCAUUCCCUUAUAACAGUAAAAAUUUUUAGGUUCUACUUAAUUUGACCCUUUAUAAAGGAUAAAAUCGUUCUGAUUUAAGAAGCAGUAUUCUCUUCAUCUUAUAAUAACUAUUUUGAAUUGCAUUUGUAAUCUAAUGCAGCCAUUUCAAUAAGAACCAGCUUUCAGGUGCCUCCAAACUUUUCAGCUCUGACAUGGUGCUCAUACAUGUAUUAUUUAAUGGAAAUGAUUUAUCUGGUUCUAUACCCGAAACAUUAGGACUAGUUUAGACACUUGAGGUUCUCCGGCUUGAUAGAAAUUUCCUGACAGGAGAGGUUCCUACAAAUCUUUGUAAGAGAUGAGUUUGGAUAAUGAAGUUGGAGUGUUGGAGCAAGAAACAAAGAUGUUGGAGCAAGUUCCCGAGAUGAAACUCACACAAGAGACCAAGAAACUAAGGCAGGCUUGUUUUAAAGUUAAUUA